GCCGACUUAGCUCAGCUGGCAGAGCAGCUGAUUUGUAAUCAGCCGGUCGUUGGUUCAAAUCCGACAGUCGGCU
rnacentral:tRNA from 1 species